rnacentral:rRNA from 2 species
AUGAUUUACAUUUGAGUGAGUGGCGAACUGGUGAGUAACACGUGGGAAACCUGCCCAGAAGCGGGGGAUAACACCUGGAAACAGAUGCUAAUACCGCAUAACAACUUGGACCGCAUGGUCCGAGUUUGAAAGAUGGCUUCGGCUAUCACUUUUGGAUGGUCCCGCGGCGUAUUAGCUAGAUGGUGGGGUAACGGCUCACCAUGGCAAUGAUACGUAGCCGACCUGAGAGGGUAAUCGGCCACAUUGGGACUGAGACACGGCCCAAACUCCUACGGGAGGCAGCAGUAGGGAAUCUUCCACAAUGGACGAAAGUCUGAUGGAGCAACGCCGCGUGAGUGAAGAAGGGUUUCGGCUCGUAAAACUCUGUUGUUAAAGAAGAACAUAUCUGAGAGUAACUGUUCAGGUAUUGACGGUAUUUAACCAGAAAGCCACGGCUAACUACGUGCCAGCAGCCGCGGUAAUACGUAGGUGGCAAGCGUUGUCCGGAUUUAUUGGGCGUAAAGCGAGCGCAGGCGGUUUUUUAAGUCUGAUGUGAAAGCCUUCGGCUCAACCGAAGAAGUGCAUCGGAGACUGGGAAACUUGAGUGCAGAAGAGGACAGUGGAACUCCAUGUGUAGCGGUGAAAUGCGUAGAUAUAUGGAAGAACACCAGUGGCGAAAGCGGCUGUCUGGUCUGUAACUGACGCUGAGGCUCGAAAGUAUGGGUAGCAAACAGGAUUAGAUACCCUGGUAGUCCAUACCGUAACGAUGAAUGCUAAGUGUUGGAGGGUUUCCGCCCUUCAGUGCUGCAGCUAACGCAUAGCAUUCGCCUGGGGAGUACGCGCAAGCUGAAACUCAAGAAUUGACGGGGCCGCACAGCGUGAGCAUGUGUUUAAUCGAGCUACGCGAGACUACAGUCUGACUACUAUGCAAUCUAAAGAUAGACGUACUCCGGAACUGAUACAGUGUGCAUGGUGUCGUCAGCUCUGUCCUGAAUGUAGUUGCAUGGUUGUCGUCAGCUCGUGUCGUGAGAUGUUGGGUUAAGUCCCGCAACGAGCGCAACCCUUAUUAUCAGUUGCCAGCAUUAAGUUGGGCACUCUGGUGAGACUGCCGGUGACAAACCGGAGGAAGGUGGGGAUGACGUCAAAUCAUCAUGCCCCUUAUGACCUGGGCUACACACGUGCUACAAUGGAUGGUACAACGAGUUGCGAACUCGCGAGAGUAAGCUAAUCUCUUAAAGCCAUUCUCAGUUCGGAUUGUAGGCUGCAACUCGCCUACAUGAAGUCGGAAUCGCUAGUAAUCGCGGAUCAGCAUGCCGCGGUGAAUACGUUCCCGGGCCUUGUACACACCGCCCGUCACACCAUGAGAGUUUGUAACACCCAAAGUCGGUGGUGGUAACCCUC